UGUGAGGGCAAGACUGCCUUAAAAAUAAAUGGAAGUAAACGGGGGAGCUGCGGUUUUUCUCGACAAAAACUCGAUAAAGAUUACAUUUAUCAACCGAUUUCAGAGAUGCCCAUGCUGCCGACGAGUCAGGUAUGUUUUCCUCUGUCCCAAUGUGAGAGUUAUGGAGAGUUGCCCGCUCCAAUAUGGCAGCGACGUUGACGUGCGGACGUGCGGCCAAUGAGGCGUCUAGUUUCUGAAAAGGAUCAGCUGACAGGAGAGAUCAGCGUGAGGGCGUGAGACAGAGAAGCCACAUAGUUUGAGAGUAGUGGAGACAAAACUAAAGAAAUAAAGGAUGGAUUUAUUGUUCAUAUUUUUUAAAUAAUGUUUAUACAUGUUCUAAUUUUAAAUUUUUAUUAAUUUCUGAAGAACGCCAUGAUCAGAGCUGUUUUUCUUGUGUGUUUUGGGUUUCGUAAUAACGGAGAUGGAAUGUAAAUGCACAGUUUAUGCAACUGAAAGAGCAAAAAGUUGGGCUAAGAGACUAAAUAUCCUAUGACAAUUAUGUUGCAUAUCGAGGCUGAGAAAAGAGCACAACACUGCAGACAACAGCGAAGACGCUGAUCCCGAAGCCUGCUCCACGAUGGCACACCUCGCAGCUGGAUUGAGACCUCUCUGCUCAGCUGAUCCACUCUCUUCAUGCCUCAGAGUCGCAGCACUUCUGGUCCUGUUCCCUUGCCGCCAUCCGGCGAUUCUGAAAGAGCUUAUUUCUAGCAAUACUGUACCAGACAGCACAUUACUCUCAGCUUGGCAUCAGUGCAGUUCCUCCAGUGCACAGCUGUACUGAAACUAAACAGAGAUGGCACAAACCCCGAACAAGGUGCCAUUAGUGAGAUGUCCAAGACAUGCAUUGUUGGUGGACCUCCAGUAACAGGAGGCCUUUAAUCACCCCCCGGAGCCGUGUGAUGGACGUUUUAUUAUGGAUGCGCGCACUUUAUUUCUCGUCUUCUGAACUGUUUACAAUCCCAUUGAAAGGCUUGGAGGCCCAGGACCAUUUUUAUGCGUCCUAUAUAACAACAGGUUUAAUGCAUCUAAGGUCAGAAAACACUGUAAUUUCGCCAGAAUAUACAUUUAUACAUAGUCAUUUGUCCAUGAUUUUGAAAUGGUUCGUUUGAUUCGGUUCUGAGCGAAAUGUCUGUAAACCCUUCCCUUCCAAAAUCCUACUCUGCUCUGAUUGGUCAGCUGGCCAAGCCUGUUGUGAUUGGCACAAAGAGGAGCACUUGAUCAGAAGCCAACGAAGAUAAAAGGCAAGAUUAGAGAAGCAGUCCUCGGUAAAAUGACAAGCACAACAAAAGUUUUGAAUUGUAUUGCUAUGGUAUCAUGGAACACAGCAUCUUCUUGACACAGAGAGUGUUCGUAUUUCGUGGGUAGGCAGGGAUUUUGCUAAUGUGUUACCCAGUGACGUAUACCAGUAACAGGCAGACGAUUCGAAAAUAUAACGACUCAUUAAGGCGAUUCUGAGUCGACUCUUUCUUUUGAGAGACAAUAUCUUUAUUUAUCAUGCACAUUUUUGAUUAACAGCUUUGCAGACUGUUUACAUUGAAGGAUAGUUACCUUAUAUUUUUCAAUAACCCAUAUGACCUGUAUUUUAAUAUAACUCCGAUUGGAUUCAUCUGAAAGAAGAAAGUCACAUACACCUAGGAUGCUUUGAGGUUGAGUAAAACACAGGCUAAUUUUCAUUUUUGGGUGAACUAACCCUUUAAGGUGCACACUGCAAUCAGUUACUUGCUUAAUGUAGAAGUAUAAUAUAGGAUUAUUUACUAUGUGGACAAAGGGACAGUUCACAAAAAAAAGUCAUGGCAUUUACUCGCCCUCAUGUCAUUUCCAAAACCAUCUUUAACACAAAAAGAUUUUCAGUCCCCCUUCACUUUCAUUGCAACUUUUUUCUCCAUGCGAUAAUGAUGAUGACUGAGCCUGUAAAAAAACGUAUUAAUGAAUACUAUUUUUUCAUUUCAGGAGUACCUUGUAAAAAGGUGUUACCAGCGACCUGCAUGUGCCAGAGGUGUAUAAGGACUUUGACAGCACUGUCCCUUUAUUGACCACAAUGGCGAUGUCCAGUGAUGAUUCGUUGGUGGAUUCUGCUUUUGGUAAAGUUCAGGCUGGGAGUGUUCUGUCAUACCAACAGCCAGCAGCAACAACACGUAACAUUACUCCACAUCAAGAUGUCCCACCACAACCACCUCUGCCACUAGAUGGUUACAACCUUGACCCAUCUGUGUGCUUAUAGUACAUAGUAAACAUGAAAUACUACACAUGAAGUCACUUGCUGUAACUCUGGUAACACCACACACGAUUAAGCAUGCCACCAAAGACCAGAGUGCAUCGAUAGAUUAGCACUCCAUUAGAAAGCAACAAGUAACAUCAUCCUGAUUUAAACAUGUUUGCCAUAAAUGGGGCAGAGCUCUGCUAAACACUUUGCUGAAAGUAUCUACUAAUAGUACUCACCAGACAGCACUUGAACUGGAAUCUGCAGUGGUGGAGGAAUGCUGUCUACUCCAUGGAGCAUUUUAUGUGCCCAAAUGUAAAAUGUUAUGUUGACUGCCCUUAAAGGGAUACUCCGUCCCAAAAUGAAAAUUUUGUCAUUAUUCACUUUACCCCAUGUCGUUCCAAAC
ensembl:lncRNA